AAGGCUACAGAGCUACAAAGACGUAUACCCUCCUAUCUCAAAGAGCUUACAGUUUAGAUGGAGGGACAGAGUUAUGAAUACCACUAGUGUCAGGCACAAUGCUCUAGAAGAAGCUGGUCUCUGGAGAUGGAGGGUCUGGAUUUAAAUUCUCUACUCCCUAGCUGCAUGCUUGUGAAAGAGUGACUGAAUCGUGCAGAAGCCUCUUUAAGGUAGAAUAGUAAUGGGUGAUGAUUCAAUGAGUUGAUGUUUUCUCAGCCAAGUGUCUGGCUCACAGUAUUAAUAAUAAUAAUAAAUUUGAAUAGUAAUACAUGAUCAUUACUGGAGGAAGUAGUGGGAAGGGUACCGAGGUUGGAGCAGCUCUUCCUGAUGGGAUGGCACAAGAGGACCUAUGGAAGUGGCAACUGAGUUGAGCAUCAGAAGAUGAGCAAGGUUUUAAUCUUAUUGAAGAAGGAAGGCGACGUAUUUCAGCAUUCUAGACUUGAAAGGGAGCCUCUAGGAAUGGAGCCUGCCAUCUAUGGAUGGAGACCUCUGAAACCAUGAGUCCUCAAAUAAACUUUUCCUCCUCUACAGUUGUGCUGGUCAGGUCUUUUAGUCACAGCAAUGGUACAAAAAGCUGACUAACAGAUCCCCUACAGGCUCAUGUGUGAAACAAUGCAAGAAGAUUCAGAGAAAGAAGAAGCUGGGAACGCCUGUGCUACUCUACCCUCCCUUCAUCACUAAGUCACAACCUAUGUGCUAAUCCUCACAUACUCUAGUUCCUCAGCUCUGGAAUCCUCUCCUUCCCUUCUAAUUCCAUUGCUCUGACCUUAGAUCACCACAGCACUAUCUUUCACCUGUUUUACGGUGCAGUCUCCUCACUGGAUUUGGUGCUUCUUCCCUCCAGUCUUUUACAAAGCUUCC